AAUAGAUACCCGGGUAGUCCACGCCGUAAACGAUGAGUGCUAAGUGUUAGAGGGUUUCCGCCCUUUAGUGCUGCAGCUAACGCAUUAAGCACUCCGCCUGGGGGAGUACGGCCGCAAGGCUGAAACUCAAAGGAAUUGACGGGGGCCCGCACAAGCGGUGGAGCAUGUGGUUUAAUUCGAAGCAACGCGAAGAACCUUACCAGGUCUUGACAUCCUCUGCCAACCCUAGAGAUAGGGCGUUCCCCUUCGGGGGACAGAGUGACAGGUGGUGCAUGGUUGUCGUCAGCUCGUGUCGUGAGAUGUUGGGUUAAGUCCCGCAACGAGCGCAACCCUUGAUCUUAGUUGCCAGCAUUCAGUUGGGUCACUCUAAGGUGACUGCCGGUGACAAACCGGAGGAAGGUGGGGAUGACGUCAAAUCAUCAUGCCCCUUAUGACCUGGGCUACACACGUGCUACAAUGGAUGGUACAAACGGUUGCGAAGUCGCGAGACGGAGCCAAUCCGAGAAAGCCGUUCUCAGUUCGGAUUGCAGGCUG
rnacentral:rRNA from 1 species